CCCAUUCCUAUUUCCAACUUGUUCGUUGUAACGAAUAUUUUUAAUGUUGGCAAUCUUCUUUGCAGGAUGCUGACAGGAUUGUUCGUUCUAUCCAGGAUUUGUUCGCUUCCUGGGGGCAGGUCCAAAUGCCUCGCCCUACUCCAUAUGAUCGUCCUGCUGCUUCUUCAGAAGAGGACUUGAAGUUCUUGAAGGGGUUGGUAUUUGAGUACGUGUCCUUCAUGGACAUGGACAUUGGAAGGGCUAGUGUUGCCAGACACAAGGAUGAACUUGAACGCUUGAGUGCGAAAUUAGAGCAAGCACUGACGCUUCCGUCGCUCAAUCUUUCUGCCGACUUUAAAGCGACGUUGAAGGUCAUUCACUCCGAGGUCCUUACUAUGCUGGCCAAGAAUGCUGAACUAAAGGCCAAGCGUACUCAAUAUCUUCGAGCCGUAGCCGAGAAAGAGUCUCUGUGCUUGGAGAUCAACAAGGCUAAGGACGAGUUGCAAGAAAUCUCUUCCGAAGUCAUGAUUGAAGACUCCUUGAUGGUUAACUUGGCUGCUCAGAUGAGGGAACUUCAAGCCAAAAUGGACGAUUGCAGGGCGAGGAUGGCCGCUAAAAAGCGCAACGCCUCUCAGGGAAUUGAGCGAACUAAAUCCUUGGUCGAACAGUACAAGAAGCUGGAGGUUGAUGAUGAUGACGUUGCGGCUGAAUUGAACAUCACUUCCUCCCGACAGAACGAGGAUUGGGAAAAACUUAGGGAACGAAUUCGUUCCUUAUGGGGUAGUUUGUAAUUAAGACACACGAUGUCUUUUCUUUUUUGUACUUUUGUCCCUUAUUAAUGAACAUUAAUUUCUUGUGCAUUUAUUUGAUGUUUAUUUUCUAAUCAUCAAUUCUUCAAGCAUUUAACUGCUUUGCAUUAAGAAUUUUGUCCAUUCCCUUUUGAUAUUCCCACUACUGUUCCCGAGACUUAGGGCCAUUUAUUUCCGUCUAUUAGGCAGAAAUGUGGCUGUUCAUAUUCUGUCUCUUCAUCUUCACCCCCUUAUAAAUGUUUAGCAUUUUUCAUC
rnacentral:lncRNA from 1 species